GAUGAACGCUAGCGGCAGGCCUAACACAUGCAAGUCGAACGGUAGCAGAUCUUUCGGGAUGCUGACGAGUGGCGAACGGGUGAGUAAUGUAUAGUUAAUUUGCCUCUUGGAGAGGGAUAACAGUUGGAAACGACUGCUAAUACCUCAUACUCCUCUAUGCUUAAUGUGUAGAGGGAAAUGUUAUUUCGCCAAGAGAUAAGACUAUAUGGUAUCAGGUAGUUGGUGGGGUAAUAGCCUACCAAGCCUAUGACGCCUAGCUGGUCUGAGAGGAUGAUCAGCCACACUGGAACUGAGACACGGUCCAGACUCCUACGGGAGGCAGCAGUGGGGAAUAUUGCACAAUGGAGGAAACUCUGAUGCAGCAACGCCGCGUGGAGGAUGACGCAUUUCGGUGUGUAAACUCCUUUUAUAUGGGAAGAUAAUGACGGUACCAUAUGAAUAAGCACCGGCUAACUCCGUGCCAGCAGCCGACG
rnacentral:rRNA from 1 species